ACCUGGAUGGCUCAGUGGUUGAGCAUCUGCCUUUGGCUCAGAUCUUGCUCCUGGGGUCCCGGGAUCGAGUCCUGCCUCGGGUU
rnacentral:tRNA from 1 species